AAAAAAUCCUAUUCAAAUCGAAACCCCUCUCUUUGAUCUCGUCGCCGAGGAAUUAGGAGGAGAGAGAGCAAUGGCCGCCGAGGAGGGAGUCGUGAUCGCCUGCCACAACAAGGACGAGUUCGACGCCCAGAUGACCAAGGCCAAGGAGGCCGGCAAAGUGGUCAUAAUUGACUUCACUGCUUCCUGGUGUGGCCCUUGCCGCUUCAUCGCCCCAGUGUUCGCUGAAUACGCCAAAAAGUUCCCUGGUGCUGUCUUCCUGAAGGUUGAUGUUGAUGAGCUGAAGGAAGUUGCUGAAAAGUACAAUGUCGAGGCAAUGCCGACCUUCCUAUUCAUCAAGGAUGGUGCUGAGGCUGACAAGGUCGUUGGCGCCAGGAAGGAUGACCUCCAGA
rnacentral:misc_RNA from 1 species